AUGGAGAACACUAACUAUGAGCUACACUUCAAAAUAAAGAACAUAUGCGUGAAGGUGGCGGACAUCGUUGCUUAUACAAAUCCCCCCGGAGCAACCUACCAUUGCCGAACGAUUCCAGAAGGCUAUGCUCGUGGCAUGGUUGAUAAAGUGGUGGACCUAUAUUCGGGGCUUUCACUUGACAUUCCUGGAGGUGACGACGAGCUCACACUGGGAGAGGCCAUACAUCAUAUCAUCCUAUGGAGAAAGGAUUGCAUCAUCUUUCGAAGGCCACCGACACUGCGUCAGCUAGAGCUUGAAAUUCCAGGAGGUGACGAGGAGUAG
rnacentral:rRNA from 1 species